UACGUAGGGUGCAAGCGUUAAUCGGAAUUACUGGGCGUAAAGCGUGCGCAGGCGGUCUGUUAAGACAGAUGUGAAAUCCCCGGGCUUAACCUGGGAACUGCAUUUGUGACUGGCAGGCUAGAGUAUGGCAGAGGGGGGGUAGAAUUCCACGUGUAGCAGUGAAAUGCGUAGAGAUGUGGAGGAAUACCGAUGGCGAAGGCAGCCCCCUGGGCCAAUACUGACGCUCAUGCACGAAAGCGUGGGGAGCAAACGAG
rnacentral:rRNA from 1 species